GACGUAGGGUGCGAGCGUUGUCCGGAUUUAUUGGGCGUAAAGAGCUCGUAGGCGGCUCGUCGCGUCGACCGUGAAAACUCACAGCUUAACUGUGGGCGUGCGGGCGAUACGGGCAGACUGGAGUACUGCAGGGGAGACUGGAAUUCCUGGUGUAGCGGUGGAAUGCGCAGAUAUCGGGAGGAACACCAAUUGCGAAGGCAGCUUGCUGGGACGAUACUGACGCUGAGGCGCGAAAGCGUGGGGAGCAAACAGG
rnacentral:rRNA from 1 species